rnacentral:SRP_RNA from 1 species
CUUCGGGCUUUGUGCAACGAUUCCCCGUGAACCCCGCCAGGCCCGGAAGGGAGCAACGGUAACGGCUCGAAUUCUGGCCAAAGCGCUCAAUUGCG